CUUGGUCAUUUAGAGGAAGUAAAAGUCGUAACAAGGUCUCCGUUGGUGAACCAGCGGAGGGAUCAUUACCGAGUUUACAACUCCCAAACCCAUGUGAACAUUACCUCUAUGUUGCUUCGGCGGAGCCGCCCCGGCGCCCGGAACCCCCUGCGGUCCCGCGGCCCGGAACCAAGGCGCCCGCCGGAGGCCACAAACUCUUCUGUUUUUACAGUUUCUUCUGAGUGUGCCGCAAGGCAGUAUACAAAUGAAUCAAAACUUUCAACAACGGAUCUCUUGGUUCUGGCAUCGAUGAAGAACGCAGCGAGAUGCGAUAAGUAAUGUGAAUUGCAGAAUUCAGUGAAUCAUCGAAUCUUUGAACGCACAUUGCGCCCGCCAGAAUUCUGGCGGGCAUGCCUGUUCGAGCGUCAUUUCAACCCUCGAGCUCCCCUUUCGGGGGGAGCCCGGCGUUGGGGACCCGGCGCUAACAACGCCGGCCCCGAAAUGGAGUGGCGGCCCGUCCGCGGCGACCUCUGCGUAGUAACAACCACUCGCACCGGGACCCGGGCGCGGCCACGCCGUAAAACACCCCACCUUCCGAAUGUUGACCUCGAAUCAGGUAGGAAUACCCGCUGAACUUAAGCAUAUCAAUAAGCGGAGGA
rnacentral:rRNA from 1 species